GACGGGGAAGCUUGCUUCCCCGGGCGUCGACCGGCGCACGAGUGAGUAACGCGUAUCCAACCUGCCUCUGACUGAGGGAUAACCCGUCGAAAGUCGGCCUAAUACCUCAUGGCAUCGUCUGCGGGCAUCCAACGACGAUUAAAGAUUUCAUCGGUCAGGGAUGGGGAUGCGUCUGAUUAGCUUGUUGGCGGGGUAACGGCCCACCAAGGCGACGAUCAGUAGGGGUUCUGAGAGGAAGGUCCCCCACAUUGGAACUGAGACACGGUCCAAACUCCUACGGGAGGCAGCAGUGAGGAAUAUUGGUCAAUGGGCGGAAGCCUGAACCAGCCAAGUAGCGUGCAGGAAGACGGCCCUAUGGGUUGUAAACUGCUUGUAUGCGGGGAUAAAGUGAGGGACGUGUCCUUCAUUGCAGGUACCGCAUGAAUAAGGACCGGCUAAUUCCGUGCCAGCAGCCGCGGUAAUACGGAAGGUCCGGGCGUUAUCCGGAUUUAUUGGGUUUAAAGGGAGCGUAGGCCGUGGAUUAAGCGUGUUGUGAAAUGCAGGUGCUCAACGUCUGCACUGCAGCGCGAACUGGUCCACUUGAGUGUGCGCAACGCAGGCGGAAUUCGUCGUGUAGCGGUGAAAUGCUUAGAUAUGACGAAGAACUCCGAUUGCGAAGGCAGC
rnacentral:rRNA from 1 species